ACUGGGAGGCUGCCAUUUUCAUUCCUGUCCUCCAGAGCUCUACAGAAAACAUUCAGGGGACAAAAGCUCUGAAAAGGAACC